CCCUAAAAGCUUUAUUAGAUUUAAUAUAUUAAUAAUGUAGAUUAUAAAUUUUACUGGGGUAGUGACUUUAAGGUAAUUGAAGUUAGAUAAACAUUAAUGUGGGUUUAGUUCUUAUCUAUAAUAAAAAUUUGAGUUAGUUACUUUAGGGAUAACAGCGUAAUAAUUUCGGAAAGAUCCUAUUUAUGGAGUUGAUUGCGACCUCGAUGUUGAAUUAAAUAAUCUUAGUAGAGCAGAAA
rnacentral:rRNA from 2 species